rnacentral:lncRNA from 1 species
UGGCUGAUCUGUUGGUGUAGUAGCGAUCUGGACGGUUGUACUCAGCCAACGUCCUGGGUUGCGCAGCCUCAUCUACAGGUAAAGUAGUACCUGUAGUAGUAGCAUUAGGCUCAGGGAUUGCAGCCCCCUGAGCACCUAUUCUCUGACCUGCUUCAUUACGCAGAUGACCCUCCUGGUCAUGAAGGUCUCCAUUGUUUUCCCGAACAAGUAUCAAAGGCGCAACCAUGUCUCGCGGUUCAGUAUCGAUCAAUGUCCGAGAUGGAAUGUCGAUCGAUUUCUGGUGAAGGGUAUAGAUCGACGGGACUGGUGUCUGGGUCGACGGUGGUUGAGCGGAAUCGAGCGACACGGAAGUGUUGUUGUCUAUCGAUAGGGAGCGCGCUUCC